AAGCAGUACGCCGUCUUCACAACUCCGAGACAAACUGUAGCAGGCGCUACUAACCGGAGCAAGGACUAACCUCGCAUCAUAACGAGGCCGUGACCUAUAUUUGCUCGGAGCUGUCUGCAAGUCCAGAUUUACAUGAUGCUGAUAAUUACGCCAUUGUGUCUGCCUGUAAGACAUACUACGAGACAGCACGCAGGAGCUUCAGCUAGAAACAACCAGAUGUGGCAUCGCGGGCAGAAGCUGUGAAGAGUUCAGCUCGGAGUCGGUCGAGAAG